GGCGUGUGCCGGCAGGCCGGAGGCGGAGCCCUGAGCAGACCUGGGGCCAGGCGUGGGCGUGGGCGCGGGCGUGGGCGUGGGCGCGGGUGGGGCGGGGCCGCCACCCGAGGCGGGGCCAGGGGUGCCGCGAGCGGGCUGCGCAGCCACGCCGAAGAGCGAGCCGGUGGUGUAAGCCUGACGACGGCCCUCGCGCCGGUUGCUGUCGAUGGCGGCUUGGAGCUCCCCCGGGGAGCUGAGCGCCCGCGUCUCGCACUCGUAAGGCUUCCCUGGCUGCUCAGAGGAUAGGAAGUGCCUGGAGAGAGACGUAAGAUUCCUGUUGGAAAGAUCUUAGUGCCCCAACCGGGGAUUGAACCCGGGCCCCGGCAGUGGAAGUGUGGAGUCCUAACCCAGACUGGAUCACCAGCGAAUUCCCAGGCUUCACUUCUUAAAGGCAAGAGUAUCAGAAACUGUAAGAAGGUAUUUUAAAACCAAACACAGAAGGGCUACUAUCACCCAAAUAUUAAGGGGAAGACCAAUUGAGCAGGAAUUGAAGGAGGGGAGGAAGAGCCAUGGGGAUACCUAGGGAAGAGCACUGCAGUCAGGAGAACAGCAGGUGCAAAUAUCCUGAGGUGGAAGUUUGAUGUCAGAAGAAAAGCAAGGAGGCCAUUGGGCUAGAACACAGUGGCCAAGGUUGGAUGUUUGGUCAGAGAUAAAAUGGACCUUGGAAUAGGUUCUUAGAGGCAGUGAAAGGACUGAGUGAAAUGGGAAGCCAUUGGAAAUGUCUGAGCAAAGAGUGAAGUCUGACUCUGGCUGUUGUGUGGAGAAUCUUCCACACUGGAUGCAAGCAUAAGGCUCAGUUAGGAGGCCACUGCACUGAUUCAGGCAAGAGAUGAUGAUGGCUUGGACCAGGGUGGUAGCAGUCGAGGUAGCAAGAAGUGAUUAGGUUCUGAAUAUAUUUUGAAGAUAAAUCUGACAGGAUCUGUUGAUGUCUUGAAUGCAGAAUGUGAGAAUGAGAGGUAUCCAAGAUGACUCCAAGGUUUUUGGCCUAGGCAGCUGGGUAAAUGAAGGUGCCCUCAACUGAGGCAGUAAAGACUACAGAAGGUACAAGAUUGGGAAAGAAAUCAGUUUGCAUUGAUCAUUUUAAGUUUGAGAUACCAAUCAGACAAGCAAGUGGACAUGUAAGCAGUCAGAUAUCUGAAUCUGGAGUUCAGAGGUUUAAACUGAGACAAAAAAUUAGGCAUAAGACACAUAGAUGGUCCUUAAGAUCCAACCACGUUGUUGCAGA